rnacentral:lncRNA from 1 species
CAUGACAUCAGGGAGUAUCUGACAACAUAAAAAAAUGCAGGAAAUGUAUAUAUGAUAAUCUUUGGAUUUUGAAGUAUUGUCUUUGUCCUAACAUGUAGACUUGUAAUUUUUGCACAGAUAUUUAAAUACUUUCUGCCUUUUAUGACAUCUUGUUCAAGUGGAAAAUGAUGGUGGUGAUUUAGGUUUGUCGCAUUCACUUCCAGUGUUAAUACUCUUAACAGUAUUAAAAUGACUUCCACUAAGUGUGGUUAAAUUUAUUUGGGAAGCCAAUUAAAUAUGUAAUAUUAGGGAAUUUUAAUACUGAGUGGGGUUAAUGAAAGUCUUAAUGUGGUUUAAUUAAUCAAAUUUAAAUUCACGCCUCCAGAGUCUUAUGAUCAGUUCUCCAGAAUUUCCCAUUAAGUGCAGGAAACUAGAUUUAUUGUCUUCUUUUCUACCAGUGAGCAGGAAAUGCCUGGACAAAAGCUUUUGUAGCACAGAAUAUAAUUAGCACAGUACAUUGCUAUUAUCCUUUACGUUGUCCUUAAAAGCUUAGAAGAGAGAUGUUUCAGAACCAGAAGAUGAAGAUGUUUACUGAAGUUUGGCUUCCAACUUACUGCUGAAAUUCAGAUGGAAGGGGAAGGCAGACAGUAGAUUGGGAAGCUGUGGAAGAGGAAAUGCAUCAAGUUCAAUUCAGCAGAGCAAGCACUUAGAGAAGCAAAAGGAACAAAUCACAGCCUCAGAAACGGAGUUUGGCUGCUUAUCAGGUUUUUACACAAAUGAUCUCUGUGCCUGAAGUCUGAGCAAUUCUUCUGAAGGAACAACAGAAGUUAGAAAUCUGAUUUAGCCUGACAAGCCGAAUGAAGCUUGGUGGAACUGAACAUAUAAAAGAUGAUAAUUACUGAGGACUUUUCAGAGAACUCACAAGAAUCCGUCCAGAGGGCUCACUCUGUACCAAAACAAGUGUCAAAAUAGAUGAGUGAAACUUCAUGGUCAGGAAAACCCCAUUCACUGGGAAGACUGAGUCACAGCCAGAUGAGUCUUAUAUUUACUUUAAACUUUCUCCGGCAUCCAUAUGACUACUGAAGAUGGUCAGAUCAGAUAAUGAAGAGCAGCAGUCUUUAUCCUUCUCAGCGAGCAGAGCUUAAAUCUUUUUCCAGUGAAGCUGUAGAUGGCAGCAUAUCAACUUUAUGCUUCUUGAGAAUUAUCUUGUUAACUUCACAUUUCCAGAAAAGGGCCGUGAACUCUCAGGGAUUUUUGGACUGCAGAUUCAAAGCCAUUGUUUUAGAAAUACAGCCUGAGUUUCUUGCAAGAUCAUCGAACAGCCGUGUGGCAGAGGACUCACUGGAACGUGGGACUGAUGCCAAUCCCUUGCACAAGAUGCUGAUAACCAGUGUCUCUUUCCUUGGAGCCAUUCAUGAAUCUUCUCUGUGUUACUCUUUUCUACAUUCUGCCUGUCAGAAAAAAACUCCCCAUACCACUAAGUAUGGGAAAACUAUGCAGCAGGCUGAGGAUAGUAAAUCACUUGCUUCUUUGGACACUCUGGCCUGAUAUACGAUGACUGGCCUGGGCACAGAGAUCCUGACUAUCUUGUGGUUGAGCUCAGUUGAACUGUUCCAGCUUUCUCAGCCUCUCUUCGUAUGAAAGAUGCUCCAAAUGCUUAAUUAUCUUAAUGGUCCUUCACUGGAAAUAAUCCAAUGUGCCCACAUCUCUCUUUUACUAGAGUCCAAACUUGGAACCAGUACUCCAGAUCCAUGUUGACUGCAAUCUUCUUGUCCUUAUUUUGGAAAUUGCUUCUAGGGUUAUUUGCUGUAUCACCUUCCAAGGAAUCAAGGCUCUUCACCACAAGAAAGACACUGAGGCCCGGGAGCAUGUCCAGAGAAGAGCAAUGAAGCUGUGAAGGUCUGGAACACAAGUCUUAUGGGGUGCAGCUGAGAGCUCUCCUUCAGAAAGGUGGUCCCCAUAAACCAUAGCCUGAUGUUAUUAAUUCCCAAAGACAGAUUCUGCCUUUGCUGGAUGUCAGAAGGUUUUAUCAUCUUUAAAAUUAACAAUAGACAUAUAAUCAUUUUACACUAUUUACCUAGCUUUAGAGGACCAAAGUUACAGCAGAUGAAUCAGCUAU